CGCCGCCACCUCCGUAGAAGCCCGACAACUCCAUCGUCGAGAACUGUCGUGGAACAAGAAACAUACAUUUUUCCAUCUCUUUUCGAACGAGCUACUUUCUGUGAGUAUAUAUUUCUGAGGUGCGGACUAGUUUCUCGAUUGGGUACUGCUCGUUCCCGGAAAUCACUACGGUUUUUGUUAUGGCGAUGUAAGAGUUGCGGUUAGUGGAGAGUUUUGGCGGUGUUGAGAGCAGAGAAUUGAGGUGGACAGACAUAUCGGGGACUAUUUUUCAUUA